CCUACGGGAGGCAGCAGUGGGGAAUAUUGCACAAUGGACGAAAGUCUGAUCCAGCAACGCCGCGUGGAGGAUGACACAUUUCGGUGCGUAAACUCCUUUUAUAUAGGAAGAUAAUGACGGUACUAUAUGAAUAAGCACCGGCUAACUCCGUGCCAGCAGCCGCGGUAAU
rnacentral:rRNA from 1 species